AAUCAAGUGCCUUAAGGGUGUUCGGUGGAUGCCUUGGCGCUGAGAGGCGAUGAAGGACGUGCUACGCUGCGAUAAGCCGU
rnacentral:rRNA from 1 species